UACAGAGGGUGCAAGCGUUAAUCGGAAUUACUGGGCGUAAAGCGUGCGCAGGCGGCCCGUUAAGACAGGUGUGAAAUCCCUGGGCUCAACCUAGGAAUUGCGCUUGUGACUGGCGGGCUCGAGUACGGUAGAGGGGGGUGGAAUUCCUGGUGUAGCAGUGAAAUGCGUAGAGAUCAGGAGGAACACCGAUGGCGAAGGCAGCCCCCUGGGCCUGUACUGACGCUCAUGCACGAAAGCGUGGGGAGCAAACAGG
rnacentral:rRNA from 1 species